CCUACGGGGGGCAGCAGUGGGGAAUAUUGCACAAUGGGGGAAACCCUGAUGCAGCGACGCCGCGUGAGUGAAGAAGUAUUUCGGUACGUAAAGCUCUAUCAGCAGGGAAGAAAAUGACGGUACCUGACUAAGAAGCCCCGGCUAACUACGUGCCAGCAGCCGCGGUAAUACGUAGGGGGCAAGCGUUAUCCGGAUUUACUGGGUGUAAAGGGAGCGUAGACGGCAGCGCAAGUCUGAUGUGAAAUCCCGGGGCUCAACCCCGGGACUGCAUUGGAAACUGUGAGGCUGGAGUGUAGGAGAGGUAAGCGGAAUUCCUGGUGUAGCGGUGAAAUGCGUAGAUAUUAGGAGGAACACCGGUGGCGAAGGCGGCUUACUGGACUGUAACUGACGUUGAGGCUCGAAGGCGUGGGGAGCAAACAGGAUUAGAUACCCGAGUAGUC
rnacentral:rRNA from 1 species